rnacentral:tRNA from 1 species
GGAAAUGUGCCCGAACUUUAAGGACCACUAUGAUAAAGUGGACAUAGAGGUAUACCAGUCCUCUCAUUUCCU